rnacentral:rRNA from 1 species
UACGUGAGGGGCGAACGUUGUUCGGUGUCACUGGGCUUAAAGGGCGCGUAGGUGGCUGUGCAAGUAAGGUGUGAAAGCCCUCGGCUUACACGGGGAAUUGCGCCUUAAACUGCAUGGCUUGAGGGAUUCAGGGGAAUGGGGAACUCCAGGUGUAGCGGUGAAAUGCGCAGAUAUCUGGGGGAAGGCCGGCGGCGAAGGCGCCAUUCUGGGAAUUUCCUGACACUGAGGCGCGAAAGCGUGGGGAGCAAACAGG